rnacentral:rRNA from 1 species
CGCGAAAACUUUGCAAUACACGAAAGUGUGACAGGGCUAUCCCGAGUGCCAUCCGCUGAGGAAGGCUUUUACCCAGUCUAGAACGCUGGGGGAAUAAGGAGAGGGCAAGUCUGGUGUCAGCCGCCGCGGUAAUACCAGCUCUCCGAGUGGUGUGGAUGUUUAUUGGGCCUAAAGCAUCCGUAGCUGGCUAAGUUAGUCCCUUGUUAAAUCCACCGAAUUAAUCGUUGGAUUGCGGGGGAUACUGCUUGGCUAGGGGACGAGAGAGGCAGACGGUAUUUCCGGGGUAGGGGUGAAAUCCUAUAAUCCCGGGAAGACCACCAGUGGCGAAGGCUGUCUGCUAGAACGCGCCCGACGGUGAGGGAUGAAAGCUGGGGGAGCGAACCGGAUUAGAUACCCGGGUAGUCCCAGCUGUAAACGAUGCAGGCUAGGUGUUUGGACGGCCACGUGCCGUUCUAGUGCCGCAGGGAAGCUGUUAAGCCUGCCGCCUGGGGAGUACGAUCGCAAGAUUGAAACUUAAAGGAAUUGGCGGGGGAGCAC